AGACGUCUACAUUAGAUACCCCCGUAGUCCCAGCCGUAAACUAUGCGCGUUAGGUGUAUCGGUGACCACGAGUCACCGAGGUGCCGAAGGGAAACCGUGAAACGUGCCGCCUGGGAAGUACGGUCGCAAGGCUGAAACUUAGAGGAAUUGGCGGGGGAGCACCACAACGGGUGGAGCCUGCGGUUUAAUUGGACUCAACGCCGGACAACUCACCGGGGACGACAGCAAUAUGUAGGCCAGGCUGAAGACCUUGCCUGAAUCGCUG
rnacentral:rRNA from 1 species